CUAGGAAGUGUGCUGAAAAAAGAUCUUUCUUCUGUGCCAGCUGUUCCACUUAAGAACUUGGUAUUAUAUCAAAGAAGCACAAUCCAAAUUCAGCCUGAGGUCAUACAAUUCAUGCAAUUCAUAUAACUCUUGUCAUCUAGAAAUAUAUUUUAGCCUCUUAAAAGAAUUAGAGUUAGGGAGAAUAAGAUAAUGGAUUUGCUACUAAUAACCUUGACUGCAGAAACCUCACAGACCUCAUUCAUUCAUUCAUUCAUGCACCUUUACAUCAAAUCAUCUGUUCAAAAUUAAUAUCAUCUGUUCUAAGAAUGCAUACUCACAAGAGCGACUGGAGUGAAGAGAUUAAAUGAAUGAAGGAAUGGAAGAAAUGAUGGAGCUUGGAGUAAAAUAAACCUGAACCCAAAUCUUAAUUUUAUCAGUUAUAGGAGGUGAACUUCUAUAAGUGAGUAAAUAUUGCUUUCCUGAUUUUCAUCUGGAAAAUAUGAAUGGUAAUGGUAUAUAUUUCCCAGGAGCAUUUAUAACAUGAAAAGUUUUACAUGUAAAAUUUCUAGUAGAAAUCUUGAUUAUGUAUUGGCUCUGUUACUUUCUUUCCCUUCUGUCUAACUUCUGUGUUAUUCUAUAUCCCUUUGCCUUGAUCUCCCUUUAUCCAGGAAAUUUGUACUUUCCAAGGAAGGCUUUUUGACCUGUACUUUCUCAGCUUUUAGUGCUGUGUCUGUGUGUUCUCCUCUGUGAGUUUGGUUUUGAUUGGUAGCAG
rnacentral:lncRNA from 1 species